UAAUCGUGGGAAAAGAGAAUUUGAUCGUCAAAGUGGAAGUGAUAAAAGGUUAGCAUAUUAUUAGGUUAAAUAUUUAAUUAAAAUUUCACUAUACAACAUUUUUGCAUUAAAAGCAUAUUAACUGGUAAACUUUACUGCUAUAGAAUAUAUUAUGAAUGACAUACAAAUUGGUUGCUAGUAGAUCUAUAAUAUGAUUAUUUGAAAUGCUUUUAUUUGCAGUUGUACAUUUCUAUGCUUUAUGAAGAGUUCUUUUAUAAUACAUGUAUUUCUUGACUUAGAACAGAGUUCGGUUUCAAAAAUUUUGAACUCUGCUGCUGUAAUUCAGAAAUGGUCAGAAGUUGAAAUAUCCAAAAUUUAUGGAUUUCUUACUACUAAUGUUUACUCAGACACAGUCACUCACAGCCAUAUUCAUCAAACAGGAUCGAGAUCAACUACGAUCCUGAAUCAAUCUAUAGUUUCGUAUUCACCAGGAUUUUGAAUCCAGGAUUAGACACAAAACUUGAUCCCGAUCUUGAUCCAACAGUUUGUUCGGAUUGAAGUAAGGAUCGAGAUCGACUCAUGCGCAGUUUAGUCAGUUUUAAAGAAAAAUGGACGACGUUUAUGAGAUUGACUAGCUAAUGCUACUAGAACAACUGGAAAGAUUGGAAAACGGCCAUGUAGAUUAUUUACAAAUCGCACAAAUGAUUUAGAACUGCUAGAUGAUAUCGAAUUUAGAUCUCGAUAUUGAUUGCCAAAAAUUAAUCAAAUAUUUAAUCACUUGAUUCGGCGAUAAGCUAUCUCAAGGUAGUGAUCGUAAUAAUUGUUUAUCACCAAUUGAACAAUUUAUUAUGACCAGU
rnacentral:lncRNA from 1 species